rnacentral:lncRNA from 1 species
GUCAACCCACCUGUCAGCCUCCAUUCUGAAAUCGCUUGUCUACGCUGACGGUUAGGUCGAAAACACCCAUCACGAUCGAUGAAUUGACAGACGAAUUGUUAGCCUGGCCCAAGAGGCCUUCUUCCUCCAGUGUGAUGACGGACUGACCGUCAUCCCCUGUGAUGCUCGUCACCGCUGCGCAGAACAUAUAUUUGGAACUUCAAUUUUAAGUCAUAAACAUCCCAAAGCGCACAACAAUUGUCCCACAC